ACAAAAUCGUUGACAGGGAAGUAAAACGGUUUGCGCACCCACAGAGAGCCGGCGGUGGUGGAAGCCCGGCGGAAGGCGGAACCGAUAAAGUAGCCCUUGAGAGCGUAUGCAAACAGCAGCAUUCUGCCCAGUAGUGUACGACGCGGGGAGCGCGUUACAGCUCCGGGAUGUGUUUGCAUCCGCAGAGUGGACGUGCUGUGUGCGUCAAUGUAAGGUGGUACCGCAGGAUACAAUCCUGUCCUUUGU
rnacentral:ncRNA from 1 species